GACGAACGCUGGCGGCGUGCUUAACACAUGCAAGUCGAACGGAAAGGCCCUGCUUUUGUGGGGUGCUCGAGUGGCGAACGGGUGAGUAACACGUGAGUAACCUGCCCUUGACUUUGGGAUAACUUCAGGAAACUGGGGCUAAUACCGGAUAGGAGCUCCUGCUGCAUGGUGGGGGUUGGAAAGUUUCGGCGGUUGGGGAUGGACUCGCGGCUUAUCAGCUUGUUGGUGGGGUAGUGGCUUACCAAGGCUUUGACGGGUAGCCGGCCUGAGAGGGUGACCGGCCACAUUGGGACUGAGAUACGGCCCAGACUCCUACGGGAGGCAGCAGUGGGGAAUAUUGCACAAUGGGCGGAAGCCUGAUGCAUCAACGCCGCAUGCGGGAUGACGGCCUUCGGGUUGUAAACCGCUUUCGCCUGUGACGAAGCGUGAGUGACGGUAAUGGGUAAAGAAGCACCGGCUAACUACGUGCCAGCAGCCGCGGUGAUACGUAGGGCGCGAGCGUUGUCCGGAUUUAUUGGGCGUAAAGGGCUCGUAGGUGGUUGAUCGCAUCGGAAGUGUAAUCUUGGGGCUUAACCCCUGAGCGUGCUUUCGAUACGGGUUGACUUGAGGAAUGUAGGGGAGAAUGGAAUUCCUGGUGGAGCGGUGGAAUGCGCAGAUAUCAGGAGGAACACCAGUGGCGAAGGCGGUUCUCUGGGCCUUUCCUGACGCUGAGGAGCGAAAGCGUGGGGAGCGAACAGGCUUAGAUACCCUGGUAGUCCACGCUGUAAACGGUGGGUACUAGGUGUGGGGUCCAUUCCACGGGUUCCGUGCCGUAGCUAACGCUUUAAGUACCCCGCCUGGGGAGUACGGCCGCAAGGCUAAAACUCAAAGGAAUUGACGGGGCCCCGCACAAGCGGCGGAGCAUGCGGAUUAAUUCGAUGCAACGCGUAGAACCUUACCUGGGUUUGACAUGGAUCGGGAGUGCUCAGAGAUGGGUGUGCCUCUUUUGGGGUCGGUUCACAGGUGGUGCAUGGCUGUCGUCAGCUCGUGUCGUGAGAUGUUGGGUUAAGUCCCGCAACGAGCGCAACCCUUGUUCACUGUUGCCAGCACGUUAUGGUGGGGACUCAGUGGAGACCGCCGGGGUCAACUCGGAGGAAGGUGGGGAUGACGUCAAGUCAUCAUGCCCCUUAUGUCCAGGGCUUCACGCAUGCUACAAUGGCUGGUACAGAGAGUGGCGAGCCUGUGAGGGUGAGUGAAUCUCGGAAAGCCGGUCUCAGUUCGGAUUGGGGUCCGCAACUCGACCUCAUGAAGUCGGAGUCGCUAGUAAUCGCAGAUCAGCAACGCUGCGGUGAAUACGUUCCCGGG
rnacentral:rRNA from 1 species